CUGAAGACAAAAUUAUUUCCCACUAAACUCUCACUUUUACCUUCUCUUUCUCUUUCUCCCUCGGUUGGCAACAUCAGUCUUCACUGUAAGCAAAUAGGAUUUUCAGUUUGCCCUAUAGCAGGUUGGAGUGGAGGAUGGGCAAUGAAACUGGAAGAUCACCGGAGCUAUGAUUACAUCUUCCUUCAUGACUGCUAAGGAUCUUAAAGAGAAGGAUGGAUUUUCUGGAUUGCAACCUGACAACCCUUUCCUCCCUUUGAGGAACCCAAGAAAGUAGAACUCUUUGAACCCAUUGGCACAAUGAUGGCUAUGCCCCUGAGCAGAAGGACAUUCUUCAACUGGAGCACAUGAAGAAUACACAAGUGUGAGAAUCAGUCUCUGUGUAGUGAUGUCAUCUAAAAUCAAUAUUUUCAAGAACCGCAACUAUACUGAAUAGUCACCAACCACUGACCUAUUUGAUGAUUAUCUCUUUAAAACUAGAAUAAUAGAAUUUCAUGGUUUAGAAAGAAGCACAGAGAUGAUCAAGACCACCCCCGGCCAGUGAAGGAAUCUACAAGCCUAUGGCACCUGAUGUUCUCAGAUAGUCUUCCAUCCCAGUAAUAAUCCAGUUCGACACUCCUUAGCUUCAGAGAUCAGAUGGUUGCUUUGGCUUGCUGCUAUCUACUAGCUAUGCACAGAAUGUCUGUGUGGGAGUGGGGGUGGGGAAACAACUGCACACCGCAUAAAGUUUAUUGCUCCUAUUUCUUAUUCUGAAAUGUUGGCAGGUAUGUGAUUAUCUGGUUUUAUUUUCAGAACAGAACUAAUGUAUUAGCAAUCUGCUGUUCUUUUGUUUUUCAUAUCCAGACUUGUACAGACCACUGUCUAUGCAAUGCUGACUAGAUCCUUCUGUUGAUUCCUGUGCAUGUGCACUAUAUGAAACGCAGAGCAAAAGGAACCACAGAGUGGAAUACAGUCCAGUGUGAGCCAUGAAACAAUAACAGACUAGGAGGAGAGAAAUUCUGAUUGUCCUUAUACAUUAUGCAACUUCUGUGGUUCUUGGGGGGCAGAUUAUGUUUUUGCUGCCUGUAGGCAAAAAAAGAUUUGCUGCCCCGG